GAUGAACGCUGGCGGCGUGCCUAAUACAUGCAAGUCGAGCGAAUGGAUUAAGAGCUUGCUCUUAUGAAGUUAGCGGCGGACGGGUGAGUAACACGUGGGUAACCUGCCCAUAAGACUGGGAUAACUCCGGGAAACCGGGGCUAAUACCGGAUAACAUUUUGAACCGCAUGGUUCGAAAUUGAAAGGCGGCUUCGGCUGUCACUUAUGGAUGGACCCGCGUCGCAUUAGCUAGUUGGUGAGGUAACGGCUCACCAAGGCAACGGUGCGUAGCCGACCUGAGAGGGUGAUCGGCCACACUGGGACUGAGACACGGCCCAGACUUCUACGGGAGGCAGCAGUAGGGAAUCUUCCGCAAUGGACGAAAGUCUGACGGAGCAACGCCGCGUGAGUGAUGAAGGCUUUCGGGUCGUAAAACUCUGUUGUUAGGGAAGAACAAGUGCUAGUUGAAUAAGCUGGCACCUUGACGGUACCUAACCAGAAAGCCACGGCUAACUACGUGCCAGCCGCCGCGGUAA
rnacentral:rRNA from 1 species